CAGUCGCCGCGGGAACACGUAGGGUGCGAGCGUUGUCCGAAGUUACUGGGCGUAAAGAGCGCGUAGGCUGGUCUUUAAGUGAGUGGUGAAAGGUUCGGGCUCAACCCGGACACUGCCUUUCAUACUGGGGACCUUGAGUGUGGGAGAGGCGAGUGGAAUGGUCGGUGUAGCGGUGAAAUGCGUUGAGAUCGGAAAGAACACCAACGGCGAAAGCACUCUGCUGGGCCGACACUGACACUGAGAGACGAAAGCUAGGGGAGCAAAUGGGAUUAGAUACCCCGGUAGUCCCUGUCUCUUAUAC
rnacentral:rRNA from 1 species